rnacentral:snRNA from 1 species
AUACCUAUCUCGGCCUUUUGGCUAAGAUCAAAUGUAGUAUCUGUUCUUAUCAGUUUAAUACUGAUACGUGGGCUAUGUGCCUACAAUGAUAUUAAAUCUAUUUUUUUAUAUGGAGAAUCUAACAUGUAGCUUGCUACUAAGGUUCUUGUGUCGUCCUAGUGUCGCACUAUUGCUUGGGCUUGGCACAACCCUA